GAUGAAGAACGUAGCGAAAUGCGAUAAGUAAUGUGAAUUGCAGAAUUCAGUGAAUCAUCGAAUCUUUGAACGCACAUUGCGCCCAUUAGUAUUCUAGUGGGCAUGCCUGUUCGAGCGUCAUUAAGUCCACUUAAGCCCUGCUUAGUGUUGGGAGACUGCUCCAGCGGUGCUACCCUGUAGCUACCCUGCAGCUCCUCAACGACAGCGGCGGAGUUGUGGUAUCCUCUGAGCUUAGUAACUUGUUCUAGCUUUCGAGUACACCACUUCCCCUGCCGUAAAACCCUUAAUUUUUAAUGGUUGACCUCGGAUCAGGUAGGAAUACCCGCUGAACUUAAGCAAAUCAAUAAGCGGAGGA
rnacentral:misc_RNA from 1 species